ACACGUGCUCCGGGGUCGGUGAAAGUCCGAGCCGGCGGUGACAGUCCGCGACCCGCCCAGGGCGACGAGAGUCGGCCGAGGCGGUUGACCUGGUGGAACUCCAGGACCGACGGUGAAAGUCCGGAUGGGAGGAAGUACGUGG
rnacentral:ncRNA from 2 species